AACGAACGCUGGCGGCGCGCCUAAUACAUGCAAGUCGAGCGAGAAGACGUAGCAAUACGUUUGUAAAGCGGCGAACGGGUGAGGAAUACAUGGGUAACCUACCCUCGAGUGGGGAAUAACUAGCCGAAAGGUUAGCUAAUACCGCAUACGACUCUCGGUCUGCGGAUCGAGAGGGAAAGCGAUACCGUGGGUAUCGCGCUCCUGGAUGGGCUCAUGUCCUAUCAGCUUGUUGGUGAGGUAACGGCUCACCAAGGCUUCGACGGGUAGCUGGUCUGAGAGGACGAUCAGCCACACUGGCACUGCGACACGGGCCAGACUCCUACGGGAGGCAGCAGUAAGGAAUAUUGCGCAAUGGGCGACAGCCUGACGCAGCGACGCCGCGUGGGGGAUGAGGGUCUUCGGAUUGUAAACCCCUUUCGGCAGGGAAGAUGGAGCGGGUAACCGCUCGGACGGUACCUGCAGAAGCAGCCACGGCUAACUUCGUGCCAGCAGCCGCGGUAACAC
rnacentral:rRNA from 1 species